rnacentral:rRNA from 1 species
UACGUAGGGUGCGAGCGUUAAUCGGAAUUACUGGGCGUAAAGGGCUCGUAGGCGGCCAACUAAGUCAGACGUGAAAUCCCUCAGCUUAACUGGGGAACUGCGUCUGAUACUGGAUGGCUUGGAUUUGGGAGAGGGAUGCGGAAUUCCAGGUGUAGCGGUGAAAUGCGUAGAUAUCUGGAGGAACACCGGUGGCGAAGGCGGCAUCCUGGACCAAUAUUGACGCUGAGGAGCGAAAGCCAGGGGAGCAAACGGG